AUGAAUGAUCAUCCUUGAUCUUCUUACCCUCAAACCACUGUGGAACAUGAGAUGUGCUUCGGUGCCAGUCGGCGCCGCCUUUAUGCUCAAACAAUGUUUUUUUUGUCUGAAGAAUCUAAUAUCA
rnacentral:misc_RNA from 1 species